rnacentral:tRNA from 1 species
GGGCGAGUGGCGGAAUUGGUAGACGCGCACGGUUCAGAGCCGUGUGGAAGUAAUUCCGUGAGAGUUCAAGUCUCUCCUCGCCCACCA